rnacentral:rRNA from 1 species
UACAGAGGGUGCAAACGUUGUUCGGAAUUACUGGGCGUAAAGCGAGUGUAGGCGGUCUCGUAAGUCGGGUGUGAAAGCCCUGGGCUCAACCCAGGAAGUGCACUCGAAACUGCGAGGCUAGAGUACUGGAGAGGUUGGUGGAAUUCUCGGUGUAGAGGUGAAAUUCGUAGAUAUCGGGUGGAACACCUGUGGCGAAGGCGGCCAUCUGGACGUCAACUGACGCUGAGACGCGAAAGCAUGGGGAGCAAACAGG